CGCACAUUGCACCCUCUGGUAUUCCGGGGGGUAUGCCUGUUCGAGCUUCAUAUCAACCCUCAAGAGCAUCUUGCUUUUGGCCUUGGAUUGCUUGUUUUUGAGACAAAAAACAAAUCCUAAAUGUGUCGGCAGCUAGUAUCGAAAAGCUACAAAUACGUUGGAAUUCUUAUUUGUGUUCUUUGUACUAGUUCGCCUUUUUUUUUAAUACAAAGGUUGAACUCGAAUCAGGUAGGGAUACCCGCUGAACUUAA
rnacentral:misc_RNA from 1 species